rnacentral:rRNA from 2 species
ACGGAAGGCAGCAGUGGGGAAUAUUGCGCAAUGGGGGAAACCCUGACGCAGCGACGCCGCGUGAGUGAAGAAGUAUUUCGGUAUGUAAAGCUCUAUCAGCAGGGAAGAAAAUGACGGUACCUGACUAAGAAGCCCCGGCUAACUACGUGCCAGCAGCCGCGGUAAUACGUAGGGGGCAAGCGUUAUCCGGAUUUACUGGGUGUAAAGGGAGCGUAGACGGUGAAGCAAGUCUGAAGUGAAAGGCAGGGGCUCAACCCCUGGACUGCUUUGGAAACUGUUUUACUAGAGUGCAGGAGAGGUAAGCGGAAUUCCUAGUGUAGCGGUGAAAUGCGUAGAUAUUAGGAGGAACACCAGUGGCGAAGGCGGCUUACUGGACUGUAACUGACGUUGAGGCUCGAAAGCGUGGGGAGCAAACAGGAUUAGAUACCCUGGUA